UCAGGCGUGGAGAGAGGAGCGCUUCAGAGGUGGCUUCAGAGAACCUACAUUCUCCAGCGUUGUGAUCUCAAUGCUGACCCUCCACACAGCGUCUCAAAAAUGAAGGACGACUGGCCCUUUCUCUUCUCCUUGAAGGGCCUUUUCUUGCAUUUCAGUGAGCUGACCGGAAUUCCUAUCCAGGAGAAGCUGCCAGCCGCCAUAGACAACAGGAGUCAGAACAUCAUGGAGUACUUCAAACAGCAGAAGACACAAGGGGUGGGGAAGGUUCUGGAAGCCUUCAAUGAAGAGAGUGGCAAAAAAAACAAAAAACAAAGCUGUCUGCACCAUCAUGUGGCUGCUUGCUCACUUUAAAGAGGGGGAUGGUAUCUUCCUUACGGCUGAUCCCUCUGCCACAGCUGCCGAUAUUGAGAGAGCUGUCACCCUGCCAAGCACACCUCGAUUAGUUGUACCAGGAGAGAUACUGCGCGGUGCAGACACAUGGAUUAUGUCCAUGGAAGGAUCAUGUGUAAUGGGGCCCCACAGCAACCUCCUGCAUGGAUUGGCAGCACUCUUCGCUGCCUACUAUGUCUUCAACUUGCAAUAUCCGUCAGAAGCCGCAAGCACACUUGAGUUCAUCCAGAGAGCCUUUUGCGGCAUAAAUCCCCAGACGGGCAUCAAGGCAGAGAAAAAACGAGGGCUGAACGCACCAGUUUGCACACUUUUGAGAAAACUGCUGGAUUUUGAAUUGGUGGGUAGGGACAUUAGAGGACAUUAGUGGACAGGGGACAUUAGAGGACAUUUGUGGACUGAGGACAUUAGUGGACAUUAGAGGACAUUAGUGGACAGGGGACAUUAGAGGACAUUUGUGGACAGAGGACAUUAGUGGACAUUUGUGGACGGGGACAUUAGAGGACAUUAGUGGACAGGGGACAUUAGAGGACAUUAGUGGACAUUUGUGGACGGGGACAUUAGAGGACAUUUGUGGACAGGGGAUAUUAGAGGACAUUAGUGGGCAGGGGACAUUAGUGGGCAGGGUACAUUAGAGGACAUUAGUGGGCAGGGGACAUUAGAGGACAUUUGUGGACAUUACAUUAUAAAAAAGUACACAAAACCAGGCUUAUUUCAGCCAUGUGUUAAUAAUUUUGUUAUGUUAAUUUUACAUGUUAAAGAUUGUUGUU